rnacentral:rRNA from 1 species
UGAGGGGGGCUGCUCCUAGUACGAGAGGACCGGAGUGGACGCAUCACUGGUGUUCGGGUUGUCAUGCCAAUGGCACUGCCCGGUAGCUAAAUGCGGAAGAGAUAAGUGCUGAAAGCAUCUAAGCACGAAACUUGCCCCGAGAUGAGUUCUCCCUGACUCCUUGAGAGUCCUGAAGGAACGUUGAAGACGACGACGUUGAUAGGCCGGGUGUGUAAGCGCAGUGAUGCGUUGAGCUAACCGGUACUAAUGAACCGUGAGGCUUAACCUU